CAGGAACUUGCUCUUCACACCUUCCGGGUGGAACGGCUCUCUUGGUCUGAAACACACUUCGCGUCCAGGUCAAUCAGGUCCAAGAGGAAUGAUUUCCAGCUGAAGUCCAGUCGCAUGAUGGUAACUGAGAGACCACUUCUGGUGCUCCACGAGUUGCACCCAGUGGGCACCAUGGAACAAUGGAAUGCAGGGCUCCUCAUUGGCCAAACCAACCAGAAGCCAGAGGGCAAGGAGCCCAUUGAUGUGGUCCACACAGGAUGGCCGCUGGGGGCACAGAACAGGGUGGAGGGGUAAAGAGAAGAUAUCUGACACAAGAAGCAU